AUGAAUUCUUCCAUCUGGCACAUCUCCUGGUGGAUUAAGUCUUCCCAUUGGGACAGAGUUUUGUGUCCAUUGAUUUUCCCUUGGUGCUGUUCUUGGUGUCUCUUGGCUUUUCCUUGCCACGGGUCUUGGUUGAUGGAUCCUUCCAUGUGGAACAUCUCCUGGUUGAUGGAUCCUUCCAUUUGGGAGGUCUUUUGGUUGGUGAAGUCUUCCAUUUGGAACAUCUCCUGGUUGAUGGAUCCUUCCAUUUGGGAGAUCUCCUGGUUGAGAGAUCCUUCCUUUUGGGACAUCUUGUGGUUGGUGAAGUCUUCCAUGUGGGACAUCUCAUGGCUGAUGGAUUCUUUCAUCUGGGACAUCUCCUGGUUGGUGGAUCCUUCCAUGUGGGACGUCUCAUGGCUGAUGGAUUCUUCCAUGUGGGACAUCUUGUGGUUGAUGGAUUCUUCCAUGUGGGACAUCUUGUGGUUGAUGGAUUCUUCCAUUUGGGAGAUCUCCUGGUUGAGAGAUCCUUCCAUUUGGGACAUCUUGUGGUUGGUGAAGUCUUCCAUGUGGAACAUCUCAUGGUUGAUGGAUACUUUCAUCUGGAACAUCUCCUGGUGGAUUAAGUCUUCCCAUUGGGACACAGUUUUGUAUCCCUUGGCGUUCCCUUGGCACCGUUCCUGGUAUCUCUUGGCGUUCCCUUGGCACAGUUCUUGGUCCAUGAAGUUUUCCGUGUGGCACGUCUCUUGGUCGAAGAGUUCUUCCAUCUGGGACAUCUCCUGGUUGAAGAGUUCUUCCAUUUGGGACAUCUCCUGGUUGAUCAGAUCUUCCCAUUGGGACACACUUUUGUAUCUGAUGGCUUCCCCUUGGCGCCACUCUUGGGAUCCAUUGGUGUCCCCUUGGUGCCACUCUUGGGAUCCAUUGGCGUCCGCUUGGUGCCACUCUUGGGAUCCAUUGGAUUCCCCUUGGUGCCACUCUUGGGAUCCAUUGGAUUCCCCUUGGCGCCACUCUUGGGAUCCUUUGGCCUCCCCUUGGCACCACUCUUGGUUGGUGAAUUCCUGCCAUUGGGACAGAUCCUGGCACCCGUUGCCGUGCCCCUGGCACAGUUCCUGGUCUCCCCAGGCUUUCUUCUGGCGCAGCUGCUGGUCGAUGAAUUCUUCCAUGUGGGACAUCUCCUGGGUGAUGAAGUCCAACCACCAGGACAGAUCUCUGUGCCCACGGGCUGUGCCCUGGCUCAUCCCUUGGGGACACCCUCGGGAUCCCUGUGGAUCUGUGCCGUGUCCCCGCUGGCACAGCUCUGGGGCACAGCAGAAUUCCCGCUGCUCCUGCUCCAUGGCCAACAUCCCCUGUCCCUCCUGGGGCCGCAGCCUCCACAGCCCCUGGGCCGGCGGGAGCUGGGAUUUGGCUUCUCCAGAGGGAUCCGGGAGCUGCUGCUCCUGGGAAUGCACCUGGACCCUUUGGGACCACACUGGGACUGGAGCAUGGCACAGCUCCGGUGUCACAACGGGACAUCCUGGCAACCACGGAGCCUUCUGGAACCUUCUGGAGCUGCAGCCCUGGCUACACAACACCAGGGUGUGCAAAGGGGGUCGUCCCCCCUGGGUGACACUGGAAGGACACUGGUGGCACCCAGAGACACCUGGAGAAGUGGCACCGUCAGAACAUGAAGAGAUUCAUCGAGGGUGGGUGAGAUCCCAGGGUGGAGCACAGGCUGGGAGAGACUCCUUGGGAAGGAGUCGGGGACACGGGGACGGUGACACGGCCCGGGGCAGCACUGUCCCGGCACUGCUCGGUGGCUUCGACCCCGCUCCGGUGCGGGGAACCAGAGCGGCUUCCCAGUGGGAUUCCUGCCGGGAAAAGCCACGGCGCCUUUAA
rnacentral:lncRNA from 1 species